rnacentral:lncRNA from 1 species
CAGGGCAGAGGCCUUGCAGGCGCUGGGACAGACUGUGGCCUUUGGGAAAUGGGCCCCUGCCUGCACACAGGGCUGACUCACCACACAUCAGCCACAGUUUGCUAUGUGACCAGAGGGUAAAGAGAGACCCCACCCAGUGGGGGCCUUAAGGCACCAACUGGAGGACAGGAAGAACCCAGCUGGAGGCCCUCUUGCCUCAGCCAACAGGCGCCAGUGGUCAGCACAAGGAAGACGGAAAACAGGCCAUCCCCAGGGUGGGGACACGGAGGAGGAGGCUCAGCCUCCAGCCCCAGGCACAGGGCCCCUCGAGACCCCAGGAAGCACUGGCCUAGUCUCAGGGUCCCUUUUUUUCCCAAUUCCAGCAGUGUUAGAACUGCCAGGUACGAGGAGCCACGCAGUCCUCUGGGCAGCAGAAACCCGAGGCUCCGUGAGAGAAGUGACCCAGGAGAGCCAGCUUUCCACACGCGUACUGGAGCCACUGGCUCCUUUUGGCCACAGGGUCACAAAUAAUUCCACAGCUGUUAAUUUUGGCAGCCACUACCCUGGAGGCAUUAUGGGCUCAUGGUAUACUAUCUUCAUUGCCACCUCGGACAAAGAUCCUAUUGGCCAAAGGCACACAAGCAUCUUCAGGAAAACUAGAUUUAAAUGGUAAGAUUAAAAAACACAGUCAUGGCUGGGCGGGGUGGCUCAUGCCUAUAAUCCCAGCACUUUGGGAGGCCAAUGCAGGCAGAUCACCAGGUCAGGAGAUCGAGAC